AUGGAAAAUGAAUACAAGAGCCUUCCCUUCAUACCCCAGAGUAGCCUUGCUACACUUGCUGGAAUUGAGAACUUAAAACUUUGGUUUGGUUUCAGUCUCCACAAUGAACACAUAUGGAUACACAAAUGGCUUCUAAGCCUUUUGAUGUUCACUAAGCGGAAGGAGUGGGGAGCUGUUUCCUGGAAGAGUAUGGGGCACCAGGGAGCAUUAAGGAAAGAAACAAUGGCAGAGGAAAUGUCAGUCUUUUGCACUCAUAAUGUUUCUAUGAACAAUACAUAAAUAAAUAAAUAAACUUGACAGUUGGAAAAUUCCAUAAUAUUUAAACCUAAAACAUUAUACAUUUCUAUAGAUGUAAUUCAACUGGUUUAACGGCCAUUAGAUACAAUCCUAAGUAAAAAGCAUUUAAAAGUAAGGGCAAUUUUCAUUUGUGAAUUCACUUGAAUUCACAGCCCUGUCACCAGGACCAUUUCUCCCACCUUCCCAUGGAUUUCCUUUCAUAUAAGAGUCAUGGAAAGUUUUAGAUGACAUGUUGCUUCAGGUAAUGCUUGGCUACAAAAGAAUUCAAACUUUAAUUCUUAAUAUUUAGUAGUUUUCAUUGCUCAAAGUUAAAUCUACCUGCUAGUUUAAAGAGCUCCAUUAUUUUAUGAAGUUAAUCCCCUAAGUGGAUAAUUAUUUAUUUUAUAAUUUGAGGCACAAUGAUCAAGAAAUUUAGAGAGCCAUGAAGAGAAAAGAAUGUGCUCUACCAAGUAUGUCUUGUUCAAUUUUUUUAACUUUGGAGAAAAAAAUCUAAAAUAUUCCCAGAAGUAUUAAACAGCAGUAAAUAUCAGCUUAAGAAACACCUUGUGAACUAUAUGGCAAAUAGAAAAAAUAAUAAAAACUGAAGUUGCAUCAAUUCUGGAAAUGACAACCAAAUGAAAAGUAUUGCCAUAUCCUUGUAAGAAUAAUGCUAUGAGGGGGAGAGAAGGAAGGCAAAACCAAGGCACAUCCACACACACAGAGGCAUCUAUACACACAAUGCGUCAUAACUCACUCAUAUUCCUCCGCAUGUGUGUAUAUUCACAUACUUCUAAAUGUUCUCCAUUUAGCCAAAUUUAGCUAUAUACUUUGUAUAGGACUAUUCAUUUAGCUAUUUCUCUAUGUCAACAAUUUAUACAAGAUUCUUCAUUCUGUCAAAAAUAUACAGACCGAAGCUCUAGAACACAGACCACUCACAAUUAAUAGGCCAUAUGCACUUUUAUUCUUCCAGUUGUGUCUUGACUGAGAUUGAUUCUAUUUGUCCUAAACCUGUAAUUACAAACAUUACAAAUCAAAUUAAUACAGUAAGGAAGAAAAUUUACUGGGCAUAUGAAAAUUUGGUUAAACUUUUUGGGGCACCUAGGUGGCUCAAGUCAUGAUCUUGGGGUCUUGGGAUCCAGCCCUGCUCAGCAGAAGUCUGCUUCUCCCUCUUCCUUUGCCCCCCACCCCGCUUACCCGCCCCACCCCCCCACCGCUGGUGCUCU
rnacentral:lncRNA from 1 species